UAGGGAAUCUCCCACAAUGGGCGAAAGCCUGAUGGAGCAACGCCGCGUGUGUGAUGAAGGGUUUCGGCUCGUAAAACACUGUUGUAAGAGAAGAAUGACAUUGAGAGUAACUGUUCAAUGUGUGACGGUAUCUUACCAGAAAGGAACGGCUAAAUACGUGCCA
rnacentral:rRNA from 1 species